GAUGAACGCUAGCUACAGGCUUAACACAUGCAAGUCGAGGGGAAACGAUAUUGGAAGCUUGCUUCCGAUAGGCGUCGACCGGCGCACGGGUGAGUAACGCGUAUCCAACCUGCCCAUCACUUGGGGAUAACCUUGCGAAAGUAAGACUAAUACCCAAUGACGUCUCUAGAAGACAUCUGAAAGAGAUUAAAGAUUUAUCGGUGAUGGAUGGGGAUGGGUCUGAUUAGCUUGUUGGCGGGGUAACGGCCCACCAAGGCGACGAUCAGUAGGGGUUCUGGGAGGAAGGUCCCCCACAUUGGAACUGAGACACGGUCCAAACUCCUACGGGAGGCAGCAGUGAGGAAUAUUGGUCAAUGGGCGAGAGCCUGAACCAGCCAAGUAGCGUGCAGGAUGACGGCCCUAUGGGCUGUAAACUGCUUUUAUAAGGGAAUAAAGUGGGAGUCGUGACUCCUUUUGCAUGUACCUUAUGAAUAAGGACCGGCUAAUUCCGUGCCAGCCGCCGCAGUAA
rnacentral:rRNA from 1 species